rnacentral:rRNA from 1 species
AGUGAACGCUGGCGGCGUGCUUAACACAUGCAAGUCGAACGAGAACGGAAUAUAGCUUGCUAUAUUUGUCAGCUAAGUGGCGCACGGGUGAGUAAUGUAUAGAUAACCUGCCCUUAAGAAAGGAAUAACAGUUGGAAACGACUGCUAAUGCCCUAUAUGCCUUUAAUACACAAGUAUGCAAGGGAAACGCUUUAGUGCUUAAGGAUGGGUCUGUAUGGUAUCAGCUUGUUGGUGAGGUAAUGGCUCACCAAGGCUAUGACGCCUAACUGGUUUGAGAGGAUGAUCAGUCACACUGGAACUGAGACACGGUCCAGACUCCUACGGGAGGCGGCAGUGGGGAAUAUUGCACAAUGGACGAAAGUCUGAUGCAGCAACGCCGCGUGGAGGAUGACACAUUUCCGUGCGUAAACUCCUUUUAUAUAGGAAGAUAAUGACGGUACUAUAUGAAUAAGCACCGGCUAACUCCGUGCCAGCAGCCGCUGUAA